AAGAAUUUACAUAGCAAAGCAAAAAAUGAAGAAAAAAGAAAAUCAAUUUAGACUUACGCCUUCUUUUCUCUUUUUGUUCUCUUCUUCUUCUUUAUUCUCUUCCUCUUUCUUCUCUUUUUAGAAAAAAAAAAAA
rnacentral:ribozyme from 1 species